UACAGAGGUGGCAAGCGUUGUUCGGAAUUACUGGGCGUAAAGGGCGCGUAGGCGGUUCGAUAAGUCCCGUGUGAAAUCCCUCGGCUCAACUGAGGAACUGCACGGGAAACUGACGGGCUUGAGUUCGGGAGAGGGAAGCGGAAUUCCGGGUGUAGCGGUGAAAUGCGUAGAUAUCUGGAGGAACACCGGUGGCGAAGGCGGCAUCCUGGACCGGUAUUGACGCUGAGGCGCGAAAGCGUGGGGAGCGAUCCGG
rnacentral:rRNA from 1 species